rnacentral:rRNA from 1 species
GAUGAACGCUGGCGGCGUGCCUAAUACAUGCAAGUAGAACGCUGAAGCUUGGUGCUUGCACCGAGCGGAUGAGUUGCGAACGGGUGAGUAACGCGUAGGUAACCUGCCUGGUAGCGGGGGAUAACUAUUGGAAACGAUAGCGAAUACCGCAUAACAGUAGAUAUUGCAUGAUAUCUGCUUGAAAGGGGCAAUUGCUCCACUACCAGAUGGACCUGCGUUGUAUUAGCUAGUUGGUGAGGUAACGGCUCACCAAGGCGACGAUACAUAGCCGACCUGAGAGGGUGAUCGGCCACACUGGGACUGAGACACGGCCCAGACUCCUACGGGAGGCAGCAGUAGGGAAUCUUCGGCAAUGGACGGAAGUCUGACCGAGCAACGCCGCGUGAGUGAAGAAGGUUUUCGGAUCGUAAAGCUCUGUUGUAAGAGAAGAACGAGUGUGAGAGUGGAAAGUUCACACUGUGACGGAACUACCAGAAAGGACG